rnacentral:lncRNA from 1 species
CUCUGCAAAUUCAAAAACCAAAAUUUUAUUUUUCAUCUCCAAAGCCAACUUUCUCUUUUUCAUCUCCAAAAGAAACAUCAGUCAAAAUCAUGUUUUAUUCCCACCAAAUCCUCAAAAGUCUCUGACUUGUUGUCCUUCCUUGUAACAUUUCUGCUAAGUGAUAACAAAGAGAAAUUUCUAAUGCUCGGGUCUAAAGCUUUUCGCUUCAAGUAAGGAGCUUUACACUUUGUGAUUCAGCUCAACCAAUUAAAGCUUUCUCAACCCACCCCCAUGCCGCACCCCACACAGCCACCCACCCACCAAUAGCCAUCGAUGCCCCAACGUAGUCAACUACAAACGGCCUUAUUGCCCCACCAAUAGCCAUACUCAAACCCCAAAACUUUAAAAAAAAAAAAAAAAAAAAACCUGGAUGGUGAUUGUUGGAUGGGUUUGGGUGGAGAGUGGUUGCGAGAUGGGUUUGGGGUUGGAGCUUGAGGGUGGUGGCCAUGGGGGAGUGGAGAGAGAGAGAGAGAGAGAGAGAGAGAGAGAGAGAGAGAGAGAGAGAGAGAGAGAGAGAGAGAGAGAGAGAGAGAGAGAGAGAGAGAGAGAGAGAGAGAGAGAGAGUGUGUGUGUGUGUGUUUUUUUUUUUUUCAUUUUUCAGUAUUUAUUUAUUUUUAACGUACGAAAUGACAAAUUUUCCCUCAUAUUUAACAACAACAUUGACAGAAUGUAACGAUAGGGCUAAUGGCACUACUACAUUUUACGAUUUGCGUGACGAAGACAAUUUCGUCGCGCAGAGUUGAAUUUCGUCGCACAAAAUCAAGCGCGACAGAAACUUC